rnacentral:tRNA from 1 species
GGAGAGAUGGCUGAGUGGAC